UUCCAGCUCCAAUAGCGUAUAUUAAAGUUGUUGUGGUUAAAAAGCUCGUAGUUGAAGGGUUGGUGAUGUAGGUGGGUCAUGCUUAAGGUGUGUACUCCACUCUACUCACCUUUCUUGGUAGAGUACCUGCGCUUCAUUGUGUAGGAUCAAUGCUUUGCCAUCAUUUACUGUGAAAAAAUUAGAGUGUUCAAAGCGGGCUGUUGCUCGAAUAGAUUAGCAUGGAAUAACGUGAUAGGACUCAUUCGUCUUAUUGUUGGUUGGGAUGAUGAGUAAUAAUUAAUAGGAUCGGUUGGGGGUGCUCAUAUUGUCAUGGGAGUGGUGAAAUACUUUGAUCAUGGCAAGAUGAACUGAAGCGAAGGCGUGCAUCAGGAACGAUUCCAUUGAUAAAGAGCUAAAGCAAGAGUCGCGAAAGGGAUUAGAUACCCCUGUAGUUCUUGCCGUAAACGAUACUGUCUCGGGAUUAGAUGUUGUUGUUUUUGACAUAUCUAGCACCGUAUGAGAAAUCAAAGAUUUUGAGUUCCAGGGGGAAUACGAUUGCAAAAUUGAAACUUAAAGGAAUUGACGGAAGGGCACCACCAGGAGUGGAGCCUGCGGCUUAAUUCGACUCAACGCGAGGAACAUUACCAGGUCCAGACAUAGUGAGGAUUGACAGAUUGAUGGACCUUUCUUGAUUCUAUGGGUGGUGGUGCAUGGCCGUUCUUAGUUGGUGGAGUGAUUUGUCUGGUUAAUUCCGAUAACGAACGAGACUUCCGCCUGCUAGUUAGCCGCUGGAACAAAUGCGUUACCAGUGUGUCUUCUUAGAGGGACGAUGUGUGGUUAGCACAUGGAAGUUGGAGGCAAUAACAGGUCUGUGAUGCCCUUAGAUGUUUUGGGCCGCACGCGCGCUACACUGACUGAUGCAAUGAGACUCUACCCUGCGAUCGAGAGUCGUGGGUAAUCUGUAAAGCUCAGUCGUGCUUGGGAUAGAUUAUUGCAAUUAUUAAUCUUGAAACGAGGAAUUCCUAGUAAAUGCGGGUCAUCAGCUCGCGUUGAUUACGUCCCUGCCCUU
rnacentral:rRNA from 1 species